UUUUAUUUUACAUAUUCAUGGUCUUAUGCUGAUUAGGAAGGACCGCAAACAUUUGUUAGCGUUGGAAGUCUUCCAUUACAUCCGGGAGCAGCACUUAUUGCUGAAGUUCAGAAACCUACAAUCAGGUUGUUUAGCGAUUGUAAUGGAGGAUAUGCAGCAGCUACAAAUUUGCAAAUAGAGAGAAGGCUAGAGCUGCAAACUUAAUCCCUCCGUCUGCGGAUCUACUCAUGGAUUUACAUGUUGUACACCAAAUUUAUAGGCUGCAUCAAUUACAGGUUGUUUUCCGCCCCCUCUCUUGCUCUCUUACCUUUAUUCUUUCAAUUAUUCACUUACCUUGCGGCUUUUAUCAAAUUUUGUUUAUUAUUUGUAAAAUUUAGGAUAUACUACGUAUUAUUUGCAGGAUUUAAUUUUCCCUUUAAAGUCUUUCAUUGUAGUUUAGGGUUUCAAUUCUUUGAUAAUGAUUGGUGUUUUGGAUUGUAACUUUUUCUACACUUUUUCAAAAUUUGAAAUUGAAUUAUGUUGAAGUAUCGGCUCUUCAUUUGAUAGAUUUUAAGUCUCACAUCAUGAUGUCUCUCCUCUUUUUGAAUUUCGAUUAUGUGUAGGUUAAGGAAAUUUAUCUUUAGAUAUUUGGCUAAUGUAUGCAACACAACUGAAUGGAACUUUACAAAACAAAACUAAACUGGACUUUAUAAAACGGAGCAGAAUAGUACGAAACUAAGCAGAACACUUUUGAUAGAACUGGAGUUUACGAAACAGAACUGAACUUUACGAAACAGAACAGAAUAGACCUUUAUGAAACAGAACACAAUGCUUUAAAGCGCCUCAAGCCCUUCAACUGUACCUUUUGACAUGCUGAAAAUGUUCAUGGGCAAGUCAAAAUAUGAUCUUUUUCUGGUCAUUGCUUGUCGCAUAUGCAAUUGCUUACUUAUGUUUAAAUUUGGAUCUCUUUUGUUAAGCCAUAAUUUUAGUUUUUUGUAUUCCUCUAUUUAUAUGAAGUUAGGUCCCAAUUUAGGUCGUGGUACAAUUGGUUUAAACAUCAAAUAAUUUAAUUCGUUUUUCUAGUUCUGAAAUUUACAGUGAACUUACUUUUUUUUUUUUUUUGAUAGAGGGCGGUGAACUUACUUAUUGAAUUGACUUUGAAUGGAUAUAUGGCUGAUAUAAUUUCAUUGACUUCAAUAUUUGUGGAAAUGAUCUUUAAGGUAAGUGACCUUGGUUCUUUAUGCUAAUAUAGGACAGGGAUCUCGAGCAUUACACUAUAAGAAUCUGUUCUUUUUGCUAAAGUAAGAUGUUGCUUGUUGUAGCCAUUAAAUUGUUCCUAUGUUUAGUCCAGAAUGAACUUCUCUUGCUUUUCCCACAAGGAUGUGAAUUAAUACAAGGAGACAAAGGUGAUCAUCCUCCCAUGGACACACAACUGAGAUUGAUUUGUCUCUUAAUCAAGCCAGACCCAUCAGCUUUUCAUAAUUUGUGGAUGUUGCAGCACUCUGUCAUUGCCAAUUACCAUAAGGUUAAAGUGUCCCAGUCCCAACUGGUAAACAUAUCCUGCAUUGGAGGAUCAAAUUAGGCCAGGU